rnacentral:snoRNA from 1 species
UCCUUUUUGGUUCAUAAGCAUGAUGAUUGGGUGUUCACGCUGCCAUGUGAGAUGUGCCUCCCUCUGAACCUUGCUACAAUGUCAGCACCUUACCUUUCUGAC